rnacentral:rRNA from 1 species
UUUCCGGUUGAUCCUGCCGGAGGUCAUUGCUAUCGGAGUCCGAUUUAGCCAUGCUAGUCGUGCGAGUUCAUACUCGCGGCACCGAGCUCAGUAACACGUGGCCAAACUACCCUACAGAGACGGAUACCCUCGGGAAACUGAGGCUAACCCGUCAUACCGAUCUCAGGCUUGAAUCGCAGAGAUCACCAAACGCCCCGGCGCUGUAGGAUGUGGCUGCGGUUGAUUAGGUUGACGGUGGGGUAACGGCCCACCGUGCCCAUAAUCAGUACAGGUUGUGAGAGCAAGAACCUGGAGACGGAAUCUGAGACAAGAUUCCGGGCCCUACGGGGCGCAGCAGGCGCGAAACCUUUACACUGCACGCACGUGCGAUAAGGGGACUCCGAGUGCGAGGGCAUAUCGUCCUCGCUUUCGUGUACCGUAGGGUGGUACACCAACAAGGGCUGGGCAAGACCGGUGCCAGCCGCCGCGGUAAUACCGGCAGCCCGAGUGAUGACCGAUCUUAUUGGGCCUAAAGCGUCCGUAGCUGGCUGCGCAAGUCCGUCGGGAAAUCCACUCGCCCAACGAGUGGGCGUCCGACGGAAACUGCACAGCUUGGGACCGGAAGGCUCGAAGGGUACGUGCGGGGUAGGAGUGAAAUCCCAUAAUCCCGCACGGACCACCGAUGGCGAAAGCACUUCGAGAAAACGGAUCCGACAGUGAGGGACGAAAGCCAGGGUCUCCAACCGGAUUAGAUACCCGGGUAGUCCUGGCCGUAAACAAUGUUCGCUAGGUAUGACACAGACUACGUGUCUCUGUUGUGCCGUAGGGAAGCCGAGAAGCGAACCGCCUGGGAAGUACGUCUGCAAGGAUGAAACUUAAAGGAAUUGGCGGGGGAGCACUACAACCGGAGGAGCCUGCGGUUUAAUUGGAUUCAACGCCGGGA